GAUGAACGCUGGCGGCGUGCCUAAUACAUGCGAGUCGAGCGAACAGAUGAGGAGCUUGCUCCUCUGACGUUAGCGGCGGACGGGUGAGUAACACGUGGAUAACCUACCUAUAAGACUGGGAUAACUUCGGGAAACCGGAGCUAAUACCGGAUAAUAUAUUGAACCGCAAGGUUCAAUAGUGAAAGACGGUUUUGCUGUCACUUAUAGAUGGAUCCGCGCCGCAUUAGCUAGUUGGUAAGGUAACGGCUUACCAAGGCAACGAUGCGUAGCCGACCUGAGAGGGUGAUCGGCCACACUGGAACUGAGACACGGUCCAGACUCCUACGGGAGGCAGCAGUAGGGAAUCUUCCGCAAUGGGCGAAAGCCUGACGGAGCAACGCCGCGUGAGUGAUGAAGGUCUUCGGAUCGUAAAACUCUGUUAUUAGGGAAGAACAAAUGUGUAAGUAACUAUGCACGUCUUGACGGUACCUAAUCAGAAAGCCACGGCUAACUACGUG
rnacentral:rRNA from 1 species